GCACGGUCAUUAUAGGUAGUCAGAGCGUUACGGCUGUCGCUCGCAGUGGAUAUUGGUUUGGUCCACUGCAUCGAGUCGUUCAGCCUUUGCCCACCUUUAAACAUAAGUCAACAUGUCGCUGGCAAGCUUGGCAGCGUAUGACAGCACUGAUGAAGAGAGUGAUGCAGAGCCUGAUGAAUUGACCAGGCCCUCUGGACUGUCACCUUCAGUCCCACCUUUGACAGUGCCUGUGGAUAUCAUAGAAGAUGAGGAUGAUUAUCAAACAACUAGUAGAACUGUAACAUCAUCAUUGCCCAUGGUUAAUGGUAACACAAAAAGUGACACUGGAAGCAUCUUCCAAGCAGAUGAUGUUGUUGAUGAUGUUCCCCUGGCUGAGAAAAUUCAUGCAGAAAAGCCAAAGAAAAGUGGUAAAGUUAAAAUAUCAAUACCAUCAUUGUCACAGUUCAAAGAUGAUGAUGAAGAACCAGCUGCAAAGAAAAUGAAACCUUCUGUUAAGGGCUCUGGCCUGUUCUCUCUGCUGCCGCCGCCCAAGGCACAGUCUACCAAGCAAACUGGCCGCGCGUUACUGCCGCAGGCAGUAUCACGGCCAGCGCCUCCGCGUCGUCCCGCCCUGGCCCCCGCUCCUGUCCCUGCCCGGGCACCGACCCAGGCCCCGCUGGUGGAUGCGGCGCCCGAUUCUGAUGAGGAGGAGCCGGCGCAGUCGGGCGGCGGCGGCGGCGACUUUUUCUCGCUGACGGAGGCUCCGCGGCCGGUGGCGGU